UACAGAGGUCCCAAGCGCUGUUCGGAUUCACUGGGCGUAAAGGGUGCGUAGGUGGUUAGGUAAGUCCGAUGUGAAAUCUCCAGGCUCAACCUGGAAAUGGCAUUGGAUACUAUCUAGCUUGAGGAGUGGAGGGGGGGACUGGAAUUCUCGGUGUAGCAGUGAAAUGCGUAGAUAUCGAGAGGAACACCAGUGGCGAAGGCGAGUCCCUGGACACUUCCUGACACUGAGGCACGAAAGCUAGGGGGAGCAAACAGG
rnacentral:rRNA from 1 species